rnacentral:rRNA from 1 species
CCACUGAGUAUUAAAUGGCCGUGGUAUUUUGACCGUGCUAAGGUAGCAUAAUCAUUAGUUUUUUAAUUAAAAACUGGAAUGAAGGGUUUGAUAAGAAAGUAACUGUCUCUAUUUAAUUUUAUUAGAAUUUUAUUUUUAAGUUAAAAAGCUUAAUUAUUUUUAAAAGACGAGAAGACCCUAUAGAGUUUAACUAAAUGCUUAAUUUAAUAUUUUAGAAUUUAAUUAUUAAAUAAAUUAUUUAGUUUAGUUGGGGUGAUUGAAAAAUUUAAUUAACUUUUUUUGAAAACAUACAUAAAUUUAUGAAUAAUUGAUCCAAUAUUUUUGAUUAAAAGAUAAAAUUACCUUAGGGAUAACAGCGUAAUUUUUUUUUAUAGUUCUAAUUGAAAAAAAAGAUUGCGACCUCGAUGUUGGAUUAAAAUUAAUAUUUGGUGUARAGGCUAAAAUAUUAGGUCUGUUCGACCUUUAAAAUUUUAC